GUACUUAAGGUGGUUCGUCACGGUCAGCUAGGCACUAUUACGCUAAUAGAUGGCGUUGUUGUUAAAAUUUGACGUAUUUAAUUAAUUUAUGUAUGAUAAUGUAAAUAUUCUUAAAAAGUAAUAAGUUUCACGGUAAUAGUAUGCUGUUUGUUACGUGUUCAACUCAGUUUGAGACGAGGUAUAGUGUAUAAAACAAGUUUAUUUGUAUAAUUUAAAACGCAGCAGUGACAGCGAAGUAUUCACACACACACUCAAAACGUUUUACGACCAAAAUAAAAUUCGUGAAACGGAACGCAAACUUGUCAUGAUUGACAGAUGUCAAAGUCAGAAAGCCCAUGAAAUGCCGGAAUCAAGUUUCAACAAAAUAUGUUGUAUACGUGCGAAAUAUUUUUAAAAAAUUCACCACGUCGUACAGGACGAUCAACGAAACUCUCGACUUCUUUAAGAGCAGUCAGGUGGAUACAUCUCUCAAUAUGUUCGUAAUCUCAGAGAGCGUCUAAAGCGAGCAAUCCGAUGAUAGCUUUAUGCUCGACGACAUUGGAAUGACGAAGAUUGGAUCAAUGCGAAAUUAACUCAAAUUCAGAAUACGGAUACAGAAGAUGACGUUUUAUUUCGUGAGUAAGUAUAUUUUUUAUUUUUCAAUAUGUUAAAUUUAAAUUCCUUUUUUAGCAAUCAAAUAUUAUUUCAGGUGAGCCAUCCAUCAAUUUGUGUCAACAAGAACAGUCCCAAAGCACCCCAAAGCAUCCAAGAAAGUACCAGUGUUUCUAUUACUGACUUGAUUAUAUAAAUCAUGCUAUUUAUUUAAUAAUUUCAAGUAAUACUAACUACAUUUAUAGCAAUUAAAAUAUAUGUCCGAGCUUAUAUUUUCAUUGUUAUGUAUAUAUAACUGGUGGGUAUUACCUGUUAGCCUGCCCCAGAGUCACCAAUGCCAAGCCCUGUUCCCAAGGUAUAACAGAAACUCUGCUUUGAAGCCUUAUGAUGAAAUGGGAUUCUUACUGUCAAGACCUGAUGAAGCAUUACAAGGAUCCCACAGAGAGCUUAAGUAUUUUAUGGGCAUAAAUAUAAUAAUGGAAGUGCCUAGCCCUGUUGCAGUGCACUGCUCUACAAAAAUAAAACAAAUCAUAGAAACUAAA